GACAGAGGAUGCAAGCGUUAUCCGGAAUGAUUGGGCGUAAAGCGUCUGUAGGUGGCUUUUCAAGUCCGCCGUCAAAUCCCAGGGCUCAACCCUGGACAGGCGGUGGAAACUGCCAAGCUGGAGUACGGUAGGGGCAGAGGGAAUUUCCGGUGGAGCGGUGAAAUGCGUAGAGAUCGGAAAGAACGCCAGCGGCGAAAGCGCUCUGCUGGGCCGACACUGACACUGAGAGACGAAAGCUAGGGGAGCGAAUGGG
rnacentral:rRNA from 1 species